rnacentral:rRNA from 1 species
CCUACGGGGCGCAGCAGUGAGGAAUAUUGGUCAAUGGCCGAGAGGCUGAACCAGCCAGGUCGCGUGAGGGAUGACGGCCCUACGGGUUGUAAACCUCUUUUGUCGGGGAGCAAGACCCGCCACGAGUGGCGGAGCGAGAGUACCCGAAGAAAAAGCAUCGGCUAACUCCGUGCCAGCAGCCGCGGUAAUACGGAGGAUGCGAGCGUUAUCCGGAUUUAUUGGGCGUAAAGCGAGUUCAGGCGGGU